rnacentral:rRNA from 1 species
CGUUCAGGGGUAAACCUGCGAAACUCGAAUGAACGAACGGGGAGAUUCAUCGUCAUUCGACGGGCGGCGUCGCCGUUCGCGCGAUGGGUAGCCCUCCGGCGCGAUUUCGGUCGCGUCCGGUGCGAGUUGCUCACGCGCACGGCGCACGCAUCACGUCCGUCGACGGCGUGCACUUCUCCCUUAGUACUGCAUCGCGACCCGCUCGAUGUCGGUCUAAGCUUCGUUCGGGAGCCCACGGCGCUUCGUGCGCCGCGGACCGCGACGUAAGCCGACCGGCCGUCGGGCGGUAGUUGACAGGAAACGCGCACGCGCUCGUCGCGUCCGGCCCGACGCAAGGUCGUCGCGACGCCGCCGUCAGACCCUACACGGGCGGACGGUGCGCGUCCGGCGCCUGCUCGUGGCAGCCGUGUCGUCUCGGACGUGCGCGUAUCGAGUCUGCGAUGUUUUUGUUUCGGGCACUCGCAGGACCCGUCUUGAAACACGGACCAAGGAGUCUAGCAUGUGUGCGAGUCACUAGGUAUAUAAACUAAACCGAAAGGCGUAACGAAAGUAAAGGCGCGCGCUUGCCGCGUGCUUAGGGAGGAUGGCGGUGCGCUCACGAGGCCGCCGCCCGCACUCCCGAGGCGUCCCGUUCGCAAUCUGUCGAUGUGGGCGCGCUCAGAGCACAAAUGCUGGGACCCGAAAGAUGGUGAACUAUGCCUGGUCAGGUCGAAGUCAGGGGAAACCCUGAUGGAGGACCGUAGCGAUUCUGACGUGCAAAUCGAUCGUCGGAACUGGGUAUAGGGGCGAAAGACUAAUCGAACCAUC